UUUUUUUUUUUGGGAAAAAAAGAGGAUUUUGAUAGUCAAGAUAUAUUACAUUAACAAUGCCUGCACCUUUUUUUGUCCUAUAAUUUUUUCCCCUUCCUUUCAUCAUCUGCCGUUUGAAAUUUAUUUUGCAUCUCUAUGAGGAUUGGAUGUUAAUUAAAGUAGUGGACUGAUCCAUUGAUGAUUAAUCUAUUCUGAGGGAUGCCAAUGCUUCUUUAAGUUGGUUUGUGACUUAGUUGCACAAAGUUAAAUUGUGCUUUUGUGUAUUGUAUUUCAUUGCUAAUUGCCCCUUAUGAUCUAUGAUUGGAAAUGUGUGCUUUCUACUAGUGCAUAUGUUGCUCCAUCUCAAUGAUGGUGAUACUUGAGAAGAUUGAUCGUGUAGUCAUUUGUGCUAGCAAACUUGGUCAGAUUCUUUUUGUUAAUGUUUCAUCCAUAUUCGGAUCUAUCAUGGGGAUUAUAAUUGAUAAAAUGGAUAGCUUUAUGGGUUUAUAAUAGAUUUUUGCAUAUUUUAAGUAAAUCACUGCAGUGUGUUCUGCAACUACUCAGACUGGUAUGAAUAGCAAGUUUGCUGCAUAACAUAUAGUGCACAUAUCAGUGAUGGAUGUUAAUAGAAUUUAAAGUAGUGGACUGAACUCUAUUGAUGAUGCAGCAAUUCUGAGUGAUUAUGAUGCACUUACUAGUUUAGUUGUCCUGAAAUUAAGCCUUUUGUCAAUCAGACUGGGCAUUGUUGUUUGUAAAUUGAAGUACCUGGGAUGUUUCUCAUCCUUAUUGGAGGCCUCUCUGUUUGUGGUAAAUACAGAUUGCGAUUUAUGCAGAGAUUGAAAUCAAAUGAUGAAUUUGGAUUAUAAAUUCUGAACAACAGUCGUUAGACUAAUGGUGUCCGAGCUGAUUCAAUAAUCAAAUCUUGUGAUGGUUUGAUGUCUGUAUUAGAACUGACUUAUCCUAAAAGAUUGCAGUGCAUUCGCUUGUUAUAAAUUAUAAUUAUCAUUACUGGUAACAAGAAAGGCUGAACUGGUG
rnacentral:misc_RNA from 1 species